rnacentral:lncRNA from 1 species
UUGACUGGUUCUUCAUGCACACUUUGAUCUGAACCUUGAUGCUUGCUAGCUACAGGUGCUAUUUCAUUCUUCUACGACUUCUUCUGACCAAAACGGAAAAUGUAAACCUUGUAACUUCAGUCAUCUUGAGCAGUCCAUAUCAUUUCCAUCUACUUCUACAUUUGGGAUUCACUUCUCUCUCUUGUUAUUCAUUUAUUUUGGAUUAAGACUUCUUCUUUUGUUCAUCUCGAACUCUGUGCCUCGAGAUAAAACCUGCUCAAACACCACAACAAUUAAACGAACAAAAUAUUUCUGUCCCAGUUUUCACUAGAAAAAUUUCGUGAGUUAUUGUAACAGAAUUCUAAACUACUUCUUUAUUAAAAGCAAUAAAAGAUCGAGAAUGGUGUACCCUCAAAAGGCCGUGAUUGUGAUUUUUUUGGGGAUAUUAUACCUUUAUUGUCCCAAAAGAAUGUCUCAACUAAGGAUUGAUGUACCUUAUGUUGGAAAAAUAUGGCCAGUGAAUGGGAUACCGUAUAUUGGCAAUGGUAUCAGGGAGUGGUGUAUCCUGCAUUUAAGAUCAAAUCAACUAGGGAGUGAUGUACCCUAUGUUAGAGAACGCAGCUAGGGAUUGGUGUACCCUAUACUAGUAAGAAGAUCAGGGAUUGGUGUUCCAUAUACUGGUAAGGAAAUGUAAUCAGGGGCUGACGCAUUGUGGGAAAUGUAACCAGGGGUUGGCGCCCUGUAUUGCUGAAAAGGAAAUAUAACCAGGGGUUGGCGCCCUGUAUUACUGAGAAGGAAAUGUAACCAGGGGUUGGCACCCUGUAUUAUUGAAAAGGAAAUAUAACCAGGGGUUGGACCCCUGUAUUACUGGAAAGAAAAUGUAACCAGGGGUUGGCACCCUGUAUUACUGGAAAGGAAAUGUAACCAGGGGUUGGCGCCCUGUAUUACUGAAAAAAAAUGUUGAAUCCCCUGGGCGAAAAUGUUCUACCUGGGUUAAACUACGAAAAGCAAACAUGGGCGAAGAGUACUUCUACUUGGAAAUACGAGCUGGACCCUCCUAGGCGAAAAGGUUCUACCUGGGUUAAGCUAUAUAAAAUAACCUGAGCGAAGAGUACUUCUACCCGGAAACUAUGAGCUUGAUCCCCCUAGGCGAAAAGGUUCUGCCUGGGUUUACUACAAAAAAAUAACCUGGGCGAAGAGUACUUCUAUCCGAAACUGUGAGCUGGAUCCCCCUAGGCGAAAAGGUUCUACCUGGGUUAAGCUACGUAAAAUAACCUGAGCGAAGACUACUUCUACCCGGAACUGUUAGUUGGAUCCCCCUAGGCGAAAAGGUUCUACUUGGGUUAAGCUACAAAAAACAAGCCUGGGGGAAGAGUACUUCUACCCGGAAAUAUGAGCUAGAUCCCCCUAGGAGAAAAAGUUCUACAUGGGUUAAGCUACGAAAAACAGGCAUGGGCGAAGAGUACUUCUACCCGAAACUAUGAGUUGGAUCCCCCUAGGCUAAAAUGUUCUACCUGGGUUAAGCUACGUAAAACAUCUUGAGCGAAGAGUACUUCUACCCGGAACUAUGAGCUAGAUCCCUCUAGGCGAAAAUUGUUCUACCUGGGUUGAGCUACGUAAAACAUCCUAGGCGAAGAGUACUUCUACCCGGAACUAUAAGCUGGAUCCCCCUAGGCGAAAAUGUUCUACCUGGGUUAAGCUACGUAAAAUAUCCUAGGCGAAGAGUACUUCUACCCGGAACUAUGAGCUGGAUCCCCAUAGGCGAAAAGGUUCUACCUGGGUUAAGCUACAUAAAACAUCCUGGGCGAAGAGUACUUCUACUCGGAACUAUAAGCUAGAUCCCCCUAGGGGAAAAGGUUCUACCUGGAUUAAGCUACGUAAACAACCUGAGCGAAUAGUACUUCUACCCGGAACUAUGAGCUGGAUCCCCCUAAGAAAAAAUGUUCUACCUGGGUUAAGCUACAAAAAAUAGCCUGGGCGAAGAGUACUUCUAUCCGGAACUAUGAGCUGGAUCUCCCUAGGCAAAGGGUUCUACCUGGGUUAAGCUACGAAAAUGAGAGGUAUGAACAUUAGUGAUGAAUGCUAAAAAUAAAGGAAAGUGGAGAUUUUGAGGAAACUUACCUUUGGUGACAUUCGUCCUUUAGGAAUCGCCAUUCUGCACUCCUUUAUUUCUUUUUCAAACAAAGAAAAACUGUGAGUUUUCAAAGUGGUGGUUGGUUUGCAACCUUGAUGUCUUUGGCAACUUGGCUUUGUGCCCAUCUUUUUUAUGAUGAUUUCAAACUUCCACUAGAUGUUUCGUGAAUACCACUUGUAUUUCUGGCCUCGGAGAGCCUUUGACUUUUGAAACUUUUACAUGACGGUUGGUCGUGUGGGACUUAACCUUUUCAACUUUAUUUUGCCUUUGGGGCAUUUCACUUUCGACUUCUUUCCUCCAAAACUUUCAAUUUUAGAGCAUUGAGGAACCUUUGGCUUUUCAAACUUUGCCAAAAUGGUUAGCUACUUGGGACUUAACCUAUUCAACUUCAAUUUUCCUUGUAGGCACUUUCAAUUUGAUUUUCUCUUUUCGAGAGUUUUUGAUUUCAAAGUAUCAACCACCAUGGCCAGUCAGGGUUGACUUGAUGCCCCUGCCAAGGCUGGGUGCCUCUUGAAUAUUAUCUUGUGUCAAACAAAAUCCUUGUAAAUCAGUUUUGCUAUCCCUUCUUUGCAUUAGUUUUGGAAUAGAGUUAGACCGAAAGGGAUUCAAAGAAAAAUAAAUAAUGGAAUGGACAAUGAAUUUAGACAAGAGGUAUCCCUAUCGGUGGAAGGAAAGAAAGACUUAUCUGGAGUACAUGCGGACUUCAAUGACCAUGACAUGCCUUUUGGACUGGAUGCCUGAUCUGUGUAAACCGACUGACUCUAAGAAAUUCAUCACAAAUUUUGCCUCAAAACCGAGAAACAAUGCCCAGGACUGUCAAUACCAAUGGCUAUGAAGAUCCUCUUUUCGAUCAGUAGUGCCUUUUGCGGGUUUUCACCAGCUAAUCUCUCUCGUUUCUCUUCUCACCAUCGCCUUAUAGUGCCCAUUGCGGGUUUUCACUAACAAGACUCUCUCAUUUUCAUUUUCUCUGCUCGUUAUCGCCCUAUGGUGCCCGUGAGUAUUUUCACCAAUAAGAUUCUCAUUUUAUUUCUCUCAGUUUGGUGGCAUUUGAUCCAAGUAACUGUAUCCUCCAAUUUUUGAACAUUCUCGUUGAUUGAUCGGAAGGACUUGAAAAGGAUUUGGGUAAAAGGGAUUUGGAUUGAAUUACAACUUUGGAACCUCUCAGGCGAGACCAUCGCCGAACCAUUGUAACAUUUGCCCAGUUUUAACUUUUGGGGGAAUGUGGAUUUUUAUUUUGGUGUGACUGAACCCCAGAGAGAGGCUGCCUACGUAUCCUUCCGGAAUCAAGUCAAACAUAGUUCAAGUCACUUUAUUUUGAUUUUCUUUUGUUUUUUUUUUCUUUUUCUUUUUUUAUUUCCUUUUCUCUUUUCUUUUUUCAUAAAACUUCCAUGAUCUAAAGAUGGUAAUCAAAGAAAAGUAACCGGCUCAAAAGGGUUUGCAAAUGGUUGAUAGUGUUUGGGUAGCGAGAAUGAAAGCCUACAUCAUCCCAAUCAGAGAACAUUAAAGAUGCGUAAAAGGGUCAAACAUAAUACCUUUUGACCGUGUCUGUAUAGACAGUUGUCUCAGAGACAUUUCCUUCUAUAUCUCCCAAAUACAACACUCCCUUUUGGUAGUAAUCGUGUUACAAUGUAUGCACCUUUCCAAUAUGGAGCCAAUUUUUCUUUGGCUUCUUCAUGAUGCGAGAGGAUACGUCUUAGGACGAGUUUCCCCACUUCGAACUUUCUGGGCCUCACUUUCUUGUUGUAGGCACGGGACAUUCUUUGUUGGUACAACUACCCGUGGCAAACUACGGCCAUACGUUUUUCAUCAAUCAUAGUCAAUUGUUCCAAAUCGGUUCUUGACCCAAUCUUUGUCCUCAAUCUCUACUUCAACAAUGAUCCAAAGAGAGGGAAUUUCAACUUUUUUCAAUUUUAUUUGGAUCUUGGCUUAGGCCUAGUGUUCCAAUUCUUUGCUUAUUUUCUCACAAGCCUCAUCUUCAACACAUUCUGCUUCUUGAUUCAUUAUUUCGAGGUCUGACGGCAUUUUAGGAUCUAGGCAUGAAGUCCACAAGCAUAUCAUGUUAUUAAAAUCUGCAUUAACAGAACUUCAAAAAGAGAAUAAGAAAGGUGACAAGAUUAAGAAAAGAGACAUUCCUAGACAAUGAAAUAUUAAUUUCAUUUAAUUGAUUUUUUUUUAAUUUGAUAUUUUUUUUGAAUUUAAAAUAUAGAAGGGUUUUCAUCGGAAAGUAAGACAAUAAUGUAAAACAUUCGGAUUAUACCCUGAAAUAAUCUGGACGCAGAAAGUAUAGCAAGACUGGCUACCGAGUCUCCCGUCUGAUGGGGGACUUUCAAGUUUGGAGACCAUUUUUUGCUUUUCUUCUGUCUCGGCAAUGGAUGCAAUGGCUUUCAGUGCCAGAUCAAAUUCCUCAUCUUCACGGAUCAUUCCGACUAUUGGCCCAUUGGUGUGAACAUGUAAAGGAUUGUUCAUCAUAUUAAGGGCAUCUUCAUACCUAAGCAUUAUUGCCUUGACCUCGAUGAGGUUUUACACUGCUCUCUUAAGAUUUCAACAGUCUUCCAUAUCAUGUCACACUGCUCUAGAGUGGUAUUCACAUCUAGCAUUAGCCCGGUACGAGGAGGACUCGGGGCUUGGCCGGUUCGGGGCCACUGGAUGCAGCAGACCUAGCCUGACUAGCUUUUGGAACAAGCUCGAGUAUGAUUCACCAAUAGGGGUGAACUGAUUCUUUCUGAAAGGCUCUCUUGGGCAAGGAUUGUAUUGGGUAUCAUUUGGUUGGGGGAUUAUAUGGAGCUUGGUAAGAACGAGCAUUUCUGGAAAGUGGAUCUCGAUUUUGUGUAUAAUGCAAUGGCCGUAUGUAAGGUUGCGCGUUCAUCACCACAUAGGGAGGCGGUGCAACGACCUGUGAUGUGGCCUUAAAGGCAACAUAACUCAAGAUUCGACCCAUUUUUUUUAAAACCAUUUUCGAUCAUCUCCCCAAUUUUGAUAGCCUCAGUGAACGGAUUACCCAUAGCGGACAUCAUGUUCUGGAAGUAGUCUGCCUCUUGGGCCUGUUGUCAGACCGUGACCAUUUCUGCUUCGUCCAUUUGAGUCUUUACCAUAAUAGCUUGUUCGCACCAUUUGACAGCAUAUUCACGAAAACUUUCCGCCGUUUUCUUUGUCAAACUAGACAUAGAGUUCUCUCUUUGGAUUUUUUACUCUUUGUUUUUUUUUUCGCCUUUUGUUUUCUUUGUUAUUUUUGUCACUCUUUUUUUUUUCCCCUUUUUUCUCUUUUUUUUCACUCAGUUUAUUUGAUGCAAUGAUCGAAUCCGAUGGGGAUUGCCUACAUAUCAUGACGUCGCAUGAAUCAGAUCUUGCAUAGUUCAGAAGAUCAGAAAUAAAAUAGAUAAACUAACUUUUUUUUCAUAUACAAUUAAUCCGAUAAAAUCUCCUAGCAAAGAAAAUAUUUUUAAUUUUUUUUCGAUUUUUUUUGAAUUGGUGAAAGAAAGACUUCUAAAGAAGAAAGAAAAUAUUUUUGAAUUUUGAGUUUUUUUUUUUUUGUAAAUUUCAAAAGAAAGACAAUAUUUUUUGGAUUUUGAUUUGAUUUUCUUUUCAAAUGAAAGACUUCUAAAAAGAAAGAAAAUAUUUUUAAUUUUAAAUUUUUUUAUUUGGGAUUUUUUAAGGAAAGACUUCUAAAGAAGGAAUUAAAGGAAAAUAUUUUUGGAUUUUUAAAAAUUGGGGCCGGAACCGAUGAGGUUUGCCUACGUAUCUCACAUCCGUUGAGAAUCAGACCCGCGUAAUUCGGUAAACCAACUAUUUUUCUCUUCAUUUUUUUUUUAAAAAUUAAUCUUUAAAAAUCAUACGCACUAGACCACAUCAUUAUUUUUCUUUUUCUUUCUCUGUUCAUUGAACUGAUUUAUGCUAAAUUUGGUCAAUAUACAAGCCUCCCAAAUAAUGCAACAAGUAGCACAUAAUAUGACAUAAUGGUCUCAACAAGGUACCUGUCCAAAAAUAGAACUAGAGUCAUGUGUCGAUCCCUGCUAAAUCAAAUGCAUGUGAUGCAAAUAAAGCGAACUUACUAGGGAUAUUCGGCAUGAGGUUUGUUCUUCUAGGUUUAAAUCCUAUUGGAGAAGGUAUCUAGAAUGGCUUACUCGAGCGAACAACUUGAGCCGAGGAGGGUCAGCGUACCGAUAGCAUUGCUUUCCAAAUUAGCUGGUGGUGCUCCACGCCUAAAACAUGUGUGACUAAAAAUCUUUCACCGGGUGACAAGCACCUCGGCUAUCUCAAAGAAAGUGGGCUAUGUCAAGCAAAUGCCCAAUUUGUAUUUUCAAGAAGACUCAGAGGGGGUGCGUGAGAAGACUGUUUAUAUGUACAGUUCAAUAAUAUCAAAGCGGUAAAAAACGAACAGGUAGCACAUUAGGCACAAAUAAAUCACAAUAUAUACAAAAUUAAUAAAGCCAAAUAAAAAGUCAACAUGUGCAAGCUCGAAUUCUGGUUAUGUCCCCAGCAAAGUCGCCAGAACUGUUACACCCCCUUUUACUCUCCAAAAGAUAUAUGUGUUUUAUGGAUUAUUGUGGGUUAAAGAGUUUUUCCAAUUAAAGUGACAAACUUGAGUAGGGAUUAUAUUAUUUACAGAGUCGCCACUUGAAAUUGAGUUUUUUGGUGUUCCAAGUCACCUUUUAUUUGAAUCCCUAGUCAAAGGAAAGUUUGACUCUAUUAUUAUUGGUCUGCGAAAAUAAAGUUCGGGUAAGGAAUUCUGUUGACCGGGGAGAAGGUGAAAGGCAUUCCCUGAGUCCCGUGGUUCUAGCACGGUCGCUUUAUUGACUACAACUUGGCUUGAAUUAAUUUUGGAUAAACUAUGAAUUAUUGGUUUAAAUAUUUUAUCUAUCCGCUUUUAAAAUAUAAAAUUAUCUUUGAAACGAAUCAUGUGUGUGAAUCCGUUUUGUUUAUUGUGCCAAAAUCAUGUCACGCGUGCGUGUACACAAUUAAUAGCAUUUUUGUUAUAUUAAGAUUAUUUUGGCCAAAGUUGCGCGAACACAUACUUCGAUUUUAAUUUUAGAAAUCACAAUUAUGUCACGCGAACGUAUACAUAAUCACGAUAUAUUCAUUAAAAGCACGCCUAAAGCACUCUAAGGGGUAUUUAUUAUUCUUUCUAAACUUGAGAUUAUUGUAUGUGAAGGCAAUGAAUUAUAGAUAGGAAACUAUUGUGGAAAAAUAGUAUGAUCUUGUUAUUAGGCUAAUGGGCUAAUAAAUAUUUAAAAGAAACUACAACUUAAAUACAUUUUCUUUGUAAAAUCAAUUGGUCCGAUUAAUUCCAACCGCUACUCCACCCAAUUGUUAACAAGUAUCAAAUUAAUUCAUGAAUUAAUCGCACAGAAUGAAGCAAAUGGGACAACCAGUGAUUAAAAUAACAGUUCCAAAGACACAUGCAAAGAAUAUAUAGAAACAAAUAAAUUAUAUACAAAACUAAAUUGUUUUGCUUCUGGUUCAACAAAGAAGUCAAACAUUUUUGCAACUUAAGAAAUUAAUAUUAUUAAAUUAUUUCCCCAAAUAUAGUGUGUGCACCCCUUAUUAACUCAAACCAUUCUGCUUGUAAUUCCAAAACUUGUUCCAUCCUAUUUAAUUAAUGGGUUCAACAGUAAAAAUUAUAAUACUUCACAAAUCUGUACAAUAUCAAUAUAGUCGAACCAGUGAACACAUUGCUAAGAACUGCACAAAGCACCAAAAUUGCACAAGAUGACCAAUAACGAGCUAAUCACUGUUUUUACCAAACAAAGGCACUCUCAUUUAAGAGUAAAGAGAAAACACCAAGCCUAAUAGAUAUUACAAUCAAAUGCUACAAAAAUAAAAUUCAGAUAUUAAACGAUGAACAAAGAGUUUAGUAUUAAACCUUUUUUAGAAGCCAAACUUCUUCAAGCAAAUUUUAUUAGCAAGCACCUUUGGACACAACAUCGGAAAACAUAAAGUAGCAGCGUUGGGAAAUGGCUCAUGUUUUUAACCGAAACUUUGGACUGCAGAGGCCUCAAACAAAUUUCAAAUGGAGAUCUCACUCACUCACGAGUUUUGCGAUAGUUUGAGGUCUUUUGAGGAUGGAGUUGAGCAGAUUUUCAGUUGCUAUUUCAAGUUGUUUUGUGGAUUGUUUUGGUCUAUUUUCGGAUGGUUUUAGUGGUUGUUGUUGGUGUUUAUGGUGGUCGAUUUUGGGGGUAAAAGAGCUGGUUUUCACGUAGGGAAGAAGGGUUCGUGAGCUGCCGCUAUAGUGAAGAAGAAGCAGUCCUUUUUCCGUUCCAGUCUUCCCCGUUUUUCUCUGAUUUUUUCUCUAUUGUUUUAGCUCUAUUUUUUUUCUCCCUCAAUCGUGUGUGUGUGUGUGAGGUCCUAUGAGAGAGUGAAUGUCUAGGUUUUUGUAAAGGGAGGGAGGUGAAUAUGGGACAAGCAUGGGGGAGAAGGGAAAGUGAAGUGGGAAUAAAGAGUGGGGGGACAAAGAGUGGGGAGCAAGGGAAAAUGGAGUGAGAAGUGAGGUAUUGGUGAGAUUAAUGGGAAAAAAC